CUGAGGAUUGAACCCAGUGCCUCACGCAUGCAAAACAAGUGCUCAACCACUGAACUACAACCCCAGCCCUGGUUUUAAUUAACAUGCAGUAUCAGAUUGUCAACCUAUAACCCUUGAAAGUAUCCCACAAAUACAUUUUAAAAACAUUAUUUUGAUAAUAUAUGCACAGAACUACACCAAGGAAAUUGUGCCUUUACUAGGAGGACCGGACACAAUCCUCCUACCUUAUUUCUUUUAGUGGAACUUUAUGGUAACAGCAGCAGAAUGGGCUCUUAAGCAGAUUUUUAUCCAAAUGGUCACUAGCAGAAUUCCAUGUAUAUAAGCUAAAUAUGAGCAUGCUCCUUUUAAGAAAGCAUGGUUUAAAUGUGUACAGAAACAUUCUUGCCUUGUGGAAAUAUCAAUAUUAAGAGCAGAAGGGAGCUGGGGUUAUGGCUCAGCGGUAGAGCACUUGUCUAGCUCUUACAAGGCCCUGGGUUCGAUCCUUAGCACCACAUAAAAAUAAAUAAAAUAAAAGUAUAACAACAAAAAAAGAGCUGAAGGACUGGAGUUGUAGCUCAGUGGUAGAGUGAUCACCUCAAAUGUGGAAGGCACUGGGUUUGAUCCUCAACACCACAUAAGGUAUUUUAUCCAUCUACAGCUAAAGAAAUAUUUUUUAAAAAAGAGUAGAAAUGUUGUUUUACAAUAUUUUCAUUCCCUUCCCCUGUUCUACGUUAUAAUACUAAGGUUCUCAUCCUUGGCUUUAAAGUUUUCACAGACUUUCCCAGGGCUCAAAUACACUAAGUUUAAACAAUUAUACCCUGAAUUAUCUGGUGACCUGACCCAAUUACUGAAAUAAAGUAAAUCUGUUAUACAGUCACAUUACAUAUAAACUGUUGCUAAUUUGUGUUAUCACCACACAAACAGAAUCUCUGCACAGACAAGUGUGGUGAUUUAUUCUAACCAUGCAAUCAAUUAAAAAUAUGUUGUUAGUUGUGUGCUCCUCUUAAGAAACCACAGUGCAAAUGUGCUUACAAGUUUGGGAAAAUAAGUGUCAUGAGUUUCUUGUUCAGAGUGGGAUGACAAAAACAGAAUAAUAAUAAAGCUGAGGAUUUUAUUACUCAAGAAAUCAAUUUUGGGGUUGGGGCUGUGGCUCAGUGGCAGAGCGCUUGCCUCGAAUGUGUGAGGCACUGGGUUCGAUCCUCAGCACCACAUAAAAAUAAAUGAAGAUAUUGUGUCCAUUUAUUUUUUUAAAAAUCAAUUUUCUAACUAAAAGCUUUACAACAGUAAAAAAGGUUAGACAUCAUAGGAAUUUCCAUAAAAUUACUAACUAAAACACUGAACUAUUAAACACAUCAAUGGUAACUGAAAAUCUUCAUAGGAAAUCCUUGAAUGCACCACAUACUGAUUUUUUUUGACACAUUUUAGUAAAAAUACCAUACCAAUAUUGACACAUUUUAAAAAUAACCACAGAAUAUUGCCAUAUUGAGGCAGUUCUAUUGUUGCUCAAUACCCAAAAUGAAAAGCAGCAGAGAGAAUGCAGCCAAGGGCAUUUUUGCUUUCUCUUACAAAACAUUCAAAUGCAUUUUUCUUACUUAGCUCCAAAAAGGCAAAAAGGAAAGAAUGGAGGCUGCCAAAAAGUUUUCAGAGCAGCCACUGAAGGCAACUUGACCCUCAAGGAGUCAAACAGCAUGGCCCGAGUGAGAACUUCCAAGAACAGAUGGUGUGCUACCAAGCUAAACUUUCCAUAGAUACUCAUUUUUAAAAUGAGACAAAAGUUAGCCUAAUGCAACCUAUAUCUUGAAAUAAACCUAAAACAUUUCUUUUUUAAUGAGUUAGACAAUGGGCCACAUCCCCACAUUACAAAAUGGUAUAAUUUGCUCCUCUUGUAGUUAGAGCUUGGUAGAAGACCAUCUCAUAUCAUCUCAUAUUAUCCCGGUGUUUCUAAUUCCCAGAUGACUUAACACCAUCUCAUAUCAUCCCAGUGUUUCUAAUUCCCAGAUGACUAAGAUAUCCUUUCUAUUCCUACUAUGUUUUGCCCCCAAGAUUUACUGCUUUGUUUAAAAAGUAGUUCAGAAUUUAUAAAAUUUAGAAUCCAAAUAAAAUCAAAUUAUGUUCUAAUAAAGAAAUGCACAUAUUUUGUACUUAGUAGUUUAUUGUUGGUGAUGAGAUAAUUUUGAAAUUUACAUCUUACAGGAUCAAGCAAGUAAGUAUUGGUGUUGUUUGGAAGCAAGUUCUCAUCAAGGGAAAAUAAGAUCAUAAAUGUAGAAUAGGGAAAGAAGAGGAAGAUCAGUGUUUUCAUUUUGAUACUUAAGAAGCAUCAAAAUGAAUUUGACUUUUUAAAAAUGUAUGUGUUCCUAAAAGGGCCUAGACACAAUGAGAUCCCAGUAAAACACAAAUCCUGAUUCCCAAACACCAUUCCCUGUGAAAAGAAACCAGGGGUCUUGAAGAAAGCCAAUUCUUAGUCUGUGUCAGGAAAAAAUACAUAGUAAGCCUAUAAUAUCUUGCUAUGGUACAAAGCAAAAACACACUCAGACUGAUGGUUCAAAAUGACCCACUGGUCAAAUCUGGGACAAUUAUAGUAAUUAAACAGAAUUUUCAAAAUGCUGCGAUUCCACAAUAAUACUCAAAAAGGGGAGGGGAGACAGGGACUAGAGGGAGGAAAGUGUUUCUUUGUAGAAUGUUAGUUAAUAAAUGUAGAUGGGAUGCCAGCCUUAGAAAAUGCCAACUUGCAGUCAUGACUAUAAUAAAAUAUUGGAUUCAGGUGAAAACUGUCAGUGAAAGCUAAAACCACCAAGUGAAGAGGAUAUGCAGUAUUUUCCAAAUCUUUCUCCCAAGAAUAAAAAAGAAUAUACUUUUACAAUUUAAAAAAGCCUGACAGACUACCCAACUAUCAACUUUAAAAAAAUCCAAUGAAAACCUUGAAGACAGACUGACAAAUCAAACUAAGAUGGCAAACAAAUUGCUAAACCUCCUCUUGCCUAUUAAUUUAUACACGUGGGUGGCAAGUAGUAUAAAUGUUGCUGAAGGGGUUCUAAUUCCAACAACCUAUUUUAUCAGCAUAAGCCACAAAAAAGAAGAUAAAGAGCAAACACGUUUCCCUUUUAAAUUAUAACUUCAAGAGAGUUGAAGACUGGCAAGAAACAAGGAUUACCCUAAAAGUUAACCUAAAACAAGUAAAUAAAUUGAUUUAUAA
rnacentral:lncRNA from 1 species